rnacentral:rRNA from 1 species
CAACGACGAAGAACCUUACCAGAUCUUGACAUCAAUUGACCAUCUUUUAAUCGAGAUUUUGCCUUCGGUACAAUUGAGACAGGUGGUGCAUGGCUGUCGUCAGCUCGUGUCGUGAGAUGUUGGGUUAAGUCCCGCAACGAGCGCAACCCUUGUGUUUAGUUGCAAACAGGUCAAGCUGUGCACUCUAGACAGACUGCCGUGGACAACACGGAGGAAGGUGGGGAUGACGUCAAAUCAUCAUGCCCCUUAUGAUCUGGGCUACACACGUGCUACAAUGGCCGGUACAACGGGCAGCGAAGGAGCGAUCCGGAGCGAAUCCUAAAAAGCCGGUCCCAGUUCGGAUUGCAGGCUGAAACUCGCCUACAUGAAGUUGGAGUUGCUAGUAAUCGCGAAUCAGAAUGUCGCGGUGAAUGCGUUCCCGGGUCUU